GAUGAACGCUGGCGGCGUGCCUAAUACAUGCAAGUCGAGCGAACAGAUGAGGAGCUUGCUCCUCUGACGUUAGCGGCGGACGGGUGAGUAACACGUGGAUAACCUACCUAUAAGACUGGGAUAACUUCGGGAAACCGGAGCUAAUACCGGAUAAUAUAUUGAACCGCAUGGUUCAAUAGUGAAAGACGGUUUUGCUGUCACUUAUAGAUGGAUCCGCGCCGCAUUAGCUAGUUGGUAAGGUAACGGCUUACCAAGGCAACGAUGCGUAGCCGACCUGAGAGGGUGAUCGGCCACACGGGAACUGAGACACGGCCCAGACUCUUACGGGAGGCAGCAGUAGGGAAUCUUCCGCAAUGGGCGAGAGCCUGACGGAGCAACGCCGCGUGAGUGAUGAAGGUCUUCGGAUCGUAAAACUCUGUUAUUAGGGAAGAACAAAUGUGUAAGUAACUAUGCACGUCUUGACGGUACCUAAUCAGAAAGCCACGGCUAUCUACGUG
rnacentral:rRNA from 1 species